GACGAACGCUGGCGGCGUGCUUAACACAUGCAAGUCGAACGGAAAGGCCUCUUUCGGGGGGUACUCGAGUGGCGAACGGGUGAGUAACACGUGAGUAACCUGCCCUUGACUUUGGGAUAACUUCAGGAAACUGGGGCUAAUACCGGAUAGGAGCUCCUGCUGCAUGGUGGGGGUUGGAAAGUUUCGGCGGUUGGGGAUGGACUCGCGGCUUAUCAGCUUGUUGGUGGGGUAGUGGCUUACCAAGGCUUUGACGGGUAGCCGGCCUGAGAGGGUGACCGGCCAAAUUGGGACUGAGGUACGGCCCAGACUCCUAAGGGAGGCAGGAGUGGGGAAUAUUGCACAAUGGGUGGAAGCCUGAUGCAGCAACGCCGUGUGCGGGAUGGCGGCCUUCGGGUUGUAAACCGCUUUCGCUCAUGACGAAGCUUUGUGUGACGGUAGUGGGUAAAGAAGCACCGGCUAACUACGUG
rnacentral:rRNA from 1 species